CGGUGGAGCAUGUGGUUUAAUUCGAAGCAACGCGCAGAACCUUACCAACCCUUGACAUCGAGAUCGCGGUUUCCAGAGAUGGAUUCCUUCAGUUCGGCUGGAUCUUUAGACAGGUGUUGCAUGGCUGUCGUCAGCUCGUGUCGUGAGAUGUUGGGUUAAGUCCCGCAACGAGCGCAACCCUCGCCUUUAGUUGCCAUCAUUAAGUUGGGCACUCUAGAGGGACUGCCGGUGAUAAGCCGGAGGAAGGUGGGGAUGACGUCAAGUCCUCAUGGCCCUUAUGGGUUGGGCUACACACGUGCUACAAUGGCGGCGACAAUGGGCAGCGAAGGGGCGACCCGGUGCAAGUCCCAAAAAGCCGUCUCAGUUCGGAUUGCACUCUGCAACUCGAGUGCAUGAAGGUGGAAUCGCUAGUAAUCGCGUAACAGCAUGACGCGGUGAAUACGUUCCCGGGCCUU
rnacentral:rRNA from 1 species